rnacentral:rRNA from 1 species
CCUGGCUCAGAUUGAACGCUGGCGGCAGGCCUAACACAUGCAAGUCGAGCGGAAACGAUGGAAGCUUGCUUCCAGGCGUCGAGCGGCGGACGGGUGAGUAAUGCGCAGGAAUUUGCCCAGCAGUGGGGGAUAGCCCGGAGAAAUUCGGAUUAAUACCGCAUAUACCCUAUGGGGGAAAGGGCCUCUCCUUGGAAGCUCUUGCUGUUGGAUGAGCCUGCGUCGGAUUAGCUAGUUGGUAGGGUAAAGGCCUACCAAGGCGAUGAUCCGUAGCUGGUCUGAGAGGAUGAUCAGCCACACUGGAACUGAGAUACGGUCCAGACUCCUAUGGGAGGCAGCAGUGGGGAAUAUUGGACAAUGGGCGCAAGCCUGAUCCAGCCAUGCCGCGUGUGUGAAGAAGGCUCUAGGGUUGUAAAGCACUUUAAGUUGGGAGGAAAGGUUGAAGUUUAAUACGCUUUAGCUGUGACGUUACCAACAGAAUAAGCACCGGUUAACUCCGUGCCAGCAGUUGCGGUAAUACGGAGGGUGCAAGCGUUAAUCGGAAUUACUGGGCGUAAAGCGCGCGUAGGUGGUUAGAUAAGUUGGAUGUGAAAGCCCCGGGUUUAACCUGGGAACUGCAUUCAAAACUGUCUAGCUAGAGUACGAUAGAGGGGGGUAGAAUUUCAGGUGUAGCGGUGAAAUGCGUAGAGAUCUGAAGGAAUACCAGUGGUGAAGGCGGCCCCCUGGAUUGAUACUGACACUGAGGUGCGAAAGCGUGGGUAGCAAACAGGAUUAGAUACCCUGGUAGUCCACGCCGUAAACGAUGUCUACUAGCCGUUGGGCUCCUUGAGAGCUUUGUGGCGCAGCUAACGCGAUAAGUAGACCGCCUGGGGAGUACGGUCGCAAGAUUAAAACUCAAAUGAAUUGACGGGGGCCCGCACAAGCGGUGGAGCAUGUGGUUUAAUUCGAAGCAACGCGAAGAACCUUACCUACUCUUGACAUCCUGAGAAUUUGCUAGAGAUAGCUUAGUGCCUUCGGGAACUCAGUGACAGGUGCUGCAUGGCUGUCGUCAGCUCGUGUUGUGAAAUGUUGGGUUAAGUCCCGUAACGAGCGCAACCCUUAUCCUUAUUUGCCAGCACGUAAUGGUGGGAACUAUAAGGAGACUGCCGGUGAUAAACCGGAGGAAGGUGGGGACGACGUCAAGUCAUCAUGGCCCUUACGAGUAGGGCUACACACGUGCUACAAUGGUCGGUACAGAGGGUUGCCAAGCCGCGAGGUGGAGCUGAUCCCAGAAAGCCGGUAGUAGUCCGGAUCGGAGUCUGCAACUCGACUCCGUGAAGUCGGAAUCGCUAGUAAUCGUGAAUCAGAAUGUCAUGGUGAAUACGUUCCCGGGCCUUGUACACACCGCCCGUCACACCAUGGGAGUGGGUUGCACCAGAAGUGGUUAGUCUAACCUUCGGGAGGACGAUCACCACGGUGUGAUUCAUGACUGGGGUGAAGUCGUAACAAGGUAGCCCUAGGGGAACCUGGGGCUGGAU